rnacentral:rRNA from 1 species
UACGUAGGGGGCUAGCGUUGUCCGGAAUCAUUGGGCGUAAAGCGCGCGUAGGCGGCCAGAUAAGUCCGGUGUGAAAGUCACAGGCUCAACCUGUGAAUGCCGCUGGAAACUGUCUGGCUUGAGUCCGGAAGGGGCGAGUGGAAUUCCUGGUGUAGCGGUGAAAUGCGCAGAUAUCAGGAGGAGCACCAAUGGCGAAGGCAGCUCGCUGGAACGGUACUGACGCUGAGGCGCGAAAGCGUGGGGAGCGAACAGG